GGAUGUGUUUGGGAUAGAAGAAUCUCCGAGGGAAUUGGAACAGCUAGCUGACACUGCUGGCUUAAUGGUUGUUGGCUCUACCUACCAGAAGUAAGUUCUAAGUUCUAAGUUCUAACUGCUUUGUAAUUUAUUUGUUUUUCUUGGUUUGGUUUGCCUUCAAUUUGAAACAUAGCAUAGUUCAACACAAAGGUCGACUUCCCAAUGCAUUGAAGGUGAGAGUUAUGUUUAUGUUGGUUGAGAAGAGGGAAAUCUUGGUCACUGAAUUAUUUAUGGAUAGUGAAGAUUACAAAAGUUAUUUAAAAAGCUGUAUGGUAACUUAAAAUAGUUGCAUAACUUUAUGUGUUAUUAUAUUAGUAUUUAUUAUUCAGUGGUCAAGAUUCAAUAUUUACUUAUUUUGUUCUCACCAAUGACCAGCCUUCCAACUUGAUAUGUUCGAUCUGAUUUUGUAUCUAAUUCUAUUCUCUGUGCUUACGCUGCGAAAAUUCUUUGGGAAUAGAGUGCAGGCAUUGUAGUUAUCUUCUGCGUGCAUGAUAAACUAGUAACUGAGUCUCUUUGAUUCCAUUUGUUUUCAACUACCUGAUGACCACUUCUUAUUUAUGAUAGGAGCUAUAUUUAGUUUAUGACAGGAUCUGUUUUUAAUCCUUCUGGUUGCUAGAGGGUGAAGUUACAGGGAACAGCAAUUGAAGGACUGGAUAAAGAGGAAAAAAUUAAUUGCAUAUAGACAAUUACUUGAGAAGGAAUAUUCACAAAGUCACUAUUACUGCAAUAAAAUUAUCAUUUAAAAGAGGUAA